UUAAACCCUUAAUGUCUAAGGGUAGAAGGCAAGAGCCAAAAUAUUAAGGGGAGAGAGGAGAGCGAUUAGUAUUUCAAACAAAGUGGUAUCAGUGAAAUGAGGCCAAAUGGGUGGGUGGUGAUGCAGAGGACCCCACUAACAACCUGGCAUUUAUAUAGAUUAAUAUUAAUUAUUUACUAAAUCUC